UAUCCAUGAUUAGGGACAAAGUUAACAAUAUCCUUAAAUCUCCCCAAAGCUUGGGCAAAACUUUCCCCAAUCUUUUGAGUAAAACUUGCUAUGUCCUUCCUGGCCU